CUAUAUGCCAUUAGUACACAUAUGACAUAACUGGCUUGAUAACGAGAUAACGCCAUAUAUUUUCUUCAAUCGAUCAACCAAUUUAAUAAGAUGAGUUUUUAUUCUUUUGUAAGAUUAGCUCGCCGAUGAUAUGUCGGGUAUCUCGCCGGACAUCUGAGUUGGACGACAAUUUUAGAGCUCUAAGGUUGGAGAGUAGAGUAAUCAAAGUGUGUAAUCAUCCUUUAUCAGAUUAUCUGAUAAAUCGAGAAUGUGAGAUUUGAGUGGAAUGUUUUAAGGAUGUUUUCGGAGAGAUUCGUGGCGGAGAUGGUGAGAGAGACGAUUUUUUUUCCGAGAGGAUGUCAAAGAGACAAGAGGUGGAGACAGGGGUGGAAAAGACGGUGAGAUCACUGAGGUUAACGAGACGAGCGAGUAGAGUCAUGAGAGGCCGUUGCGGCGGCGGAGGAAUGAAGAGACGGCGGUGAAGGAGUGGAGUGAGUCAGGGAGGCGAUGUGCGAGGAGUGGAGCUUCAAAGAUUACUACGGCAGAUUCGUUCGGUCCUGUCGUUUUGGGUAGUACCUUUGAUCGAUUGCUCAAUGGACAUCAGACUUCAAGGUUAAUUGUUGUUUUCAGUCUGUGGUUUCUGCUUAAGAAAGUUUGUGGUGAUGGAGAAAUCAGGCGAUGGAGCUAGCCAUGGAUCGAAUAGGAAUAGUAGCAGGGGUAUGUGAUAUCCCGAUGUUGAUGAACAAACAACUGAAACUGUUUAGCUUUGCUGAUGAGCUGAAAAUUUCAAGGUCUCAAAGACAUUAAAGAGUUCAAUUCCCUGCUUAUGUGAGAUUGGAGUUUAAGUCCAGUGGCCUUAGUUCUUAUCAUGAAUUGCAAAGACGUGUUAUUGUGAUCUCAAGGCAAAAAGGAAGACUCUUUUUUAUUGUCUUAUAUAGUGAGUUUGUAAAGCUGAAACUUUUAUGCGUUGGCUUGGCUUGAAUUCUUGCUGUCUCAACUGACUAAUGUCUUGGCUUGAAUUCUCAGCGAGCUUGCUGUUUGAACUCACUAAUGUCUUGGCUUGAAUUUUCAGCGAGCUUUCGUCUACCUUACUUGCUCUGUUUUUUUCUUCUUUCAUGGCAGCUCUGUUUAUUUUUCUUCUCCUUCAACACGUUACCACCUAAACAUGGUUUUUAAAUAAGUAUUUUGCA